rnacentral:tRNA from 1 species
CGCGGCGGUGGUGUGGGCGGUGCGUCACCCUGGUUCGGUGGCAGCUCCGUCGGCUCUGCUGGCGUCGCUGUCCCAGUUCGGCCCCACUGCGACC